rnacentral:rRNA from 1 species
CAGCAGCCACGGUAAUACGAGGGGCGCAAGCGUUAUUCGGAUUGAUUGGGUGUAAAGGGUGUGCAGACGGCUUAUUAAGUCACUUGUUAAAUUCUUCGGCCUAACUGAAGGUCUGCAAGUGAUACUGAUGAGCUAGAGGGUGGAAGAGAGAAGUGGAAUUCUCGGAGUAGCGGUAAAAUGCGUAGAUCUCGAGAGGAACACCAAUGGCGAAGGCAGCUUCUUGGUCCAUUCCUGACGUUCAUACACGAAAGCGUGGGGAGCAAACGGGAUUAGAUACCCCCGUAGUCCCUGUCUCUUAUAC